rnacentral:lncRNA from 1 species
CGGAUUGAUUACAGGCAAAAACCAGGAAACAGAACAGAAGGGUACCAUAGCAGUUAAUGGCAACAUACCUUUCAUAUUUCCAUUCAGAUUUUAUUUAAAAUGAAGUCUUUCAUAUUUCUUUCUAAGAGAAACUUCUACAACCUCUCCUACAUGUAAUAGUGUACUGACAUUAGCCAUCUUGUUAACACCUAGAAAAACUUUAGACUAAUAGGCUUCCAUUGUUGAGUACUAUAACUAUGAUUGGAAUCUUUAGUCUUUUUAAAAUAAAGAAUUCUCACUCAUUGAAAACUCUUAAAAAUAAUUUUAAAUGUAUUUGAACUACAUAUAUAUCAUGACAUUAAAUGCAAGUUAAAAAUACAAUUAUUAAAUAGCAAGGAAGUAUCCAUGGGUCUUCAAAAGCGCCUUCUUUCAGUUCUGCUUGGAUUUGUCACUUAGCUGGGACCAGAGCAGCACCUCUUCCUCAGCCUCACAUCAGACCAGGGGUUGCGAUGCUGAAUUUUGCUUGUAAACUGUGGGAAGUCUGGAUGUUUUUCUGCAGGUGCCCAGACGAGAUGCCUCACGGACUGUUCACAACAGUUGGCUGCCUCACUUUUCCCAAUGUCCAACAACUGCUUUCCCUCCCUCAGCACGAUCCCCGUCUCACUUCUGCUGCCCACUCCCAUCUUACUGCUAUGUGGGAUUUCCACAACUCCCAUCAAUUUGUCACUGGGCUCGACUUUAACCCCACUGUUCGCAGUGAAGGGCAGCACUUGUGCCGAAGCUCAGUUUUGCACUCAUACAGAAAAACACGGUGGUGAAUCAUCUGCUGUACACCCCUGUGCCCAAAAUGGAAGAUGACAGCCAUUUUGAUGAAAGAGAAAACACGUGAGGCUCAAACAGCUGCAGUUGGAGGAACUGACAGUGCUAAAAAUGAGAAAGGCUCACUUGUCCAGGGAGGAUGGAGUAAUGUGGGAAUGCUGGGUGUGAGAAACUUCUCGUGGAGCAUGGAGGAGACUGUGCGCACACUGAAAGUUGUGAUAGCCACCACGUAGUAUAAAUCUUUGUAGUGUGAGGCAUAGAGAAGCGCUGUGAUUUCUCCGAGGGCAGCUUACAAACGUUUCAGUGUGACCAUAGUGUUGCUGGCAUUGUUGCAGGAUUGGGAAGUGCUUCCAAGUCACACAGCAGCCUACAGCUCAUCUGGCUUUAAUGGGAUCUCAGUUCUGUGAUAUAAACAGCUCAAUAAUUACAACCACAAAACAUUUUUCUCCCC